rnacentral:rRNA from 1 species
AGUGAACGCUGGCGGUAGGCCUAACACAUGCAAGUCGAACGGCAGCACAGUAAGAGCUUGCUCUUACGGGUGGCGAGUGGCGGACGGGUGAGGAAUACAUCGGAAUCUACUUUUUCGUGGGGGAUAACGUAGGGAAACUUACGCUAAUACCGCAUACGACCUACGGGUGAAAGCAGGGGAUCUUCGGACCUUGCGCGAUUGAAUGAGCCGAUGUCGGAUUAGCUAGUUGGCGGGGUAAAGGCCCACCAAGGCGACGAUCCGUAGCUGGUCUGAGAGGAUGAUCAGCCACACUGGAACUGAGGCACGGUCCAGACUCCUACGGGAGGCAGCAGUGGGGAAUAUUGGACAAUGGGCGCAAGCCUGAUCCAGCCAUACUGCGUGGGUGAAGAAGGCCUUCGGGUUGUAAAGCCCUUUUGUUGGGAAAGAAAAGCAGCAGGUUAAUACCCCGCUGUUCUGACGGUACCCAAAGAAUAAGCACCGGCUAACUUCGUG